UGGGGAAUAUUGCACAAUGGGCGAAAGCCUGAUGCAGCGACGCCACGUGAGGGAUGACGGCCUUCGGGUUGUAAACCUCUUUCAGUAGGGACGAAGCGCAAGUGACGGUACCUGCAGAAGAAGCACCGGCUAACUACGUGCCAGCAGCCGCGGUAAUACGUAGGGUGCGAGCGUUGUCCGGAAUUACUGGGCGUAAAGAGCUCGUAGGCGGUUUGUCACGUCGUCUGUGAAAUCCUAGGGCUUAACCCUGGACGUGCAGGCGAUACGGGCUGACUUGAGUACUACAGGGGAGACUGGAAUUUCUGGUGUAGCGGUGGAAUGCACAGAUAUCAGGAAGAACACCGAUGGCGAAGGCAGGUCUCUGGGUAGUAACUGACGCUGAGGAGCGAAAGCAUGGGUAGCGAACAGG
rnacentral:rRNA from 1 species